AGCAGCCGCGGUAAUUCCAGCUCCAAUAGCGUAUAUUAAAGUUGUUGCAGUUAAAAAGCUCGUAGUUGAAUUUCGGGGUUAGUAGGUUGGUCAUGCCUCUGGUAUGUACUGGUCUCACUGAUUCCUCCUUCCUGAUGAACCUUAAUGCCAUUUAUUUGGUGUUUUGGGGAAUUUGGACUGUUACUUUGAAAAAUUAGAGUGUUUAAAGCAAGCUAACGCUUGAAUACAUUAGCAUGGAAUAAUGAAAUAGGACGUUCGAUCCUAUUUUGUUGGUUUCUAGGAUUGACGUAAUGAUUAAUAGGGAUAGUUGGGGGCAUUAGUAUUCAAUUGUCAGAGGUGAAAUUCUUGGAUUUAUUGAAGACUAACUACUGCGAAAGCAUUUGCCAAGGAUGUUUUCAUUAAUCAAGAACGAAAGUUAGGGGAUCGAAGACGAUCAGAUACCGUCGUAGUCUUAACCAUAAACUAUGCCGACUAGGGAUCGGAUGAUGUUAAUUUUUAAUGUACUCAUU
rnacentral:rRNA from 1 species